GAUGAACGCUGGCGGCGUGCCUAAUACAUGCAAGUCGAGCGAACGGACGAGAAGCUUGCUUCUCUGAUGUUAGCGGCGGACGGGUGAGUAACACGUGGAUAACCUACCUAUAAGACUGGGAUAACUUCGGGAAACCGGAGCUAAUACCGGAUAAUAUUUUGAACCGCAUGGUUCAAAAGUGAAAGACGGUCUUGCUGUCACUUAUAGAUGGAUCCGCGCUGCAUUAGCUAGUUGGUAAGGUAACGGCUUACCAAGGCAACGAUGCAUAGCCGACCUGAGAGGGUGAUCGGCCACACUGGAACUGAGACACGGUCCAGACUCCUACGGGAGGCAGCAGUAGGGAAUCUUCCGCAAUGGGCGAAAGCCUGACGGAGCAACGCCGCGUGAGUGAUGAAGGUCUUCGGAUCGUAAAACUCUGUUAUUAGGGAAGAACAUAUGUGUAAGUGACUGUGCACAUCUUGACGGUACCUAAUCAGAAAGCCACGGCUAACUACGUG
rnacentral:rRNA from 1 species